UGAAAGCAUAAGCUAGCUAGCACUGCAGUGCAUAAAAUGUGGUGAGUAGUUGACUCAAAGAGAUAGAAAGACAACAGUUUAACAGUUUUGAACAAAUUAGUGCAUUCUUGAAGGAGGAGCAAGAGCGAGAGAGAGAGAGAGAGGGCUAGCUAUAUUGCAUCAUUUAGUUUCACUUUCACUUACUUACCAAAUCCAUAGAGCUAGUAUAGCCAACUCAAACACUCGGCUCAAACACCCGGCUCACACCUGUCUAUGACGAUCAAACACAGGAACUCUUCCAAGUCAAGCGGGACUGGACAUAUUGGUACAGGAUGGACAGGCACCUCCUCAGAGCAGAACCCCUGACUUUUCUUCUCUCUGGGAUUGAUGACCAAAGCAGGACGAUAACAAAUGAUCAGGAUGGCCAAUUGAGUCAACAAUCAAUAAAUAGGCCGGAUUACCGAACAGGGACGAGACGGCCUACAGGGAGGAGGUGAGGGCCCUCGGAGUGUGGUGUCAGGAAAAUAACCUCACACUCAACGUCAAAAAAACAAAGGAGAUGAUUGUGGACUUCAGGAAACAGCAGAGGGAACACCCCCCCUAUCCACAUCGAUGGAACAGUAGUGGAGAGGGUAGUAAGUUUUAAGUUCCUCGGCAUACACAUCACAGACAAACUGAAUUGGUCCACCCACACAGACAGCAUCGUGAAGAAGGCGCAGCAGCGCCUCUUCAACCUCAGGAGGCUGAAGAAAUUCGGCUUGUCACCAAAAGCACUCACAAACUUCUACAGAUGCACAAUCGAGAGCAUCCUGUUGGGCUGUAUCACCGCCUGGUAUGGCAACUGCUCCACCCACAACCGUAAGGCUCUCCAGAGGGUAGUGAGGUCUGCACAACGCAUCACCGGGGGCAAACUACCUGCCCUCCAGGACACCUACACCACCCGAUGUCACAGGAAGGCCAUAAAGAUCAUCAAGGACAACAACCACCCGAGCCACUGCUUGUUCACCCCGCUAUCAUCCAGAAGGCGAGGUCAGUACAGGUACAUCAAAGCUGGGACCGAGAGACUGAAAAACAGCUUCUAUCUCAAGGCCAUCAGACUGUUAAACAGCCACCACUAACAUUGAGUGGCUGCUGCCAACAUACUGACUCAACUCCAGCCACUUUAAUAAUGGGAAUUGAUGGGAAUUGAUGUAAAAUAUAUCACUAGCCACUUUAAACAAUGCUACUUAAUAUAAUGUUUACAUACCCUACAUUAUUUAUCUCAUAUGUAUACGUAUAUACUGUACUCUAUAUCAUCUACUGCAUCUUUAUGUAAUACAUGUAUCACUAGCCACUUUAAACUAUGCCACUUUGUUUACAUACUCAUCUCAUAUGUAUAUACUGUACUCGAUACCAUCUACUGCAUCUUGCCUAUGCCGCUCUGUACCAUCACUCAUUCAUAUAUCUUUAUGUACAUAUUCUUUAUCCCUUUACACUUAUGUGUAUAAGGUAGUAGUUUUGGAAUUGUUAGCUAGAUUACUCGUUGGUUAUUACUGCAUUGUCGGAACUAGAAGCACAAGCAUUUCGCUCCACUCGCAUUAACAUCUGCUAACCAUGUGUAUGUGACAAAUAAAAUGUGAUUUGAUUUGAUUUGAUUUGGAUGGGGACCACCUGGAGGUCGGGGGCCCCCCAGAUAGCAUAUGAUGGCAAAAUGUGUAGAAUAGCAGGAAAUUAUCUUAAAAACUGCAACAUUUUCUCUCAGUCUCAUGGCAAAAUGUGAACAAUAGCAUUAGAUGAGCUAUAAAACAGCACAUUUUUAUCUCUGACCCAUAGCAAAUAGCAUAGAUUUGCAGGAAAUUAACUUUAAAACUACAACAUUUUAUCUUGACAAAAUAUCUACAAUAGCAUUAGCUAUAAAACUGAAAAACAUGUCAACACAAAAAAUCAGGUCAGUGCCUCUGUGCCCCAAAUGUGGUAGUCCGGCCCUGUGUAUCCUUGGUAAUAUAUGAAAUUGUGCACAGGCCGUCCACUGUGUUUAGGAAACACAUUCUCAGCUACUGUAUGUCACUUACAAUGUUUGUAUUUUUCAUGUGCCUUGAGUGGAAAAGUCUCCCUGUUUGCUUGCAUUGCUGGCACAACUGCUAGCCUGAAUCUGAAGCUGGGGACACAGCAACACAUGUUCCAUUU